ACGAAAGGAACAUACAUCGGUUGCUACACCGGUUGAUCAGCAGAGAACAAGGAUGCCUAGCCGAGUGUGUGCGAUCAGCUUGAUGGUCCUAGUGGCCAUCAGCUCCUGCCAGGCCAUGUGGCCCUUGGCCCUUGGAAUGAGCCAGAGACAAGGCGGUGGCCAUGGUUUCGGAUCACCCACUUUAUUAGGGGCCAUGACUGGUGCAUUGCCCUGUAACCCCAUGGCACCGCAAAGACCCAUGGGAGGUGGAAGACGAGGC